CCUACGGGUGGCAACAGUGGGGAAUAUUGGACAAUGGGGGGAACCCUGAUCCAGCCAUGCCGCGUGUGUGAAGAAGGCCCUCGGGUUGUAAAGCACUUUCAGUGAGGAAGAACGCCUGGUGGUUAAUACCCAUCAGGAAAGACAUCACUCACAGAAGAAGCACCGGCUAACUCCGUGCCAGCAGCCGCGGUAAUACGGAGGGUGCGAGCGUUAAUCGGAAUUACUGGGCGUAAAGCGCGCGUAGGUGGCUUGAUAAGCCGGUUGUGAAAGCCCCGGGCUCAACCUGGGAACGGCAUCCGGAACUGUCAAGCUAGAGUGCAGGAGAGGAAGGUAGAAUUCCCGGUGUAGCGGUGAAAUGCGUAGAGAUCGGGAGGAAUACCAGUGGCGAAGGCGGCCUUCUGGACUGACACUGACACUGAGGUGCGAAAGCGUGGGUAGCAAACAGGAUUAGAUACCCCAGUAGUC
rnacentral:rRNA from 1 species